AUAAAUCUAGAAGGUCUUCAAGACCUCUCUAACAUCUUGUGAACUGUUUAUGUCUCUGGCAGGCUCUUUGGUCUGCCGAGUAAACUUUGUAUUUUUUUUAGUCUAAAAAUUCAUAAAAGUAAUUAAAA
rnacentral:misc_RNA from 1 species